UGCCUCUACCACUGCCACUGCCUGUGCCUCCGCCUGUACCUCUGCGUCUGCCGCUCUCUGUCCGUUGGCCCAGAAUGAAAAAAGGAGGCAAUCGGCAUGGGAUCGCCUCCUCAUCGCCUCUCCUGAAAAUAUACUCGUAUUUCAUCACAAUGUUAACUAUUUCCCUCUGCGCCAUGUGAAAUGGGAUCGGCUUUUAAUUCAGAAGAGCACUUGAGAUGGUUUUGAUAAAGCAUUUCAUCAGGCUUUCACCAAUCAUCAAACGUGAAAGACCAGCAGUCUGCAAGAGUACAAAAUACAAAAGAAAAAAAAACAGAAUUCAAUAAAACAACGCCCAUGGGCUAAAUGGUGUAUUGGGUAUUCAUGGCCGGAGCUGGACAUGGAUCUGGUCAUGGCCAUGGACGAGGUACCUCCAUUCACAUACACAUUUUGUAAUAAAAUUAAUGACACGUCAUUACCGUAA